rnacentral:rRNA from 1 species
GACAGAGGGUGCAAACGUUGUUCGGAAUUACUGGGCGUAAAGCGCGUGUAGGCGGCUUUGCAAGUCGGAUGUGAAAUCCCACGGCUCAACCGUGGAAGUGCAUUCGAAACUGCAAGGCUAGAGUCCUGGAGAGGAAGGUGGAAUGCUUGGUGUAGAGGUGAAAUGCGUAGAUAUCGGGAGGAACAUCAGUGGCGAAGGCGGCCCUCUGGUCCAGUACUGACACUCAAGUGCGAAAGCGUGGGGAGCAAACAGG